rnacentral:tRNA from 1 species
AGGUUUGUAGUAUAAUGGAAAUACACUUGACUCUUAAUCAAGGAGAUAGGGGUUCAAAUCCCCUCGAACCUA